UGGGGAAUCUUGCGCAAUGGCCGAAAGGCUGACGCAGCGACGCCGCGUGUGGGAGGAAGCCCUUCGGGGUGUAAACCACUGUUGCCCGGGACGAAACGCCUUUUUCGAGAGGCUUGACGGUACCGGGUGAGGAAGCACCGGCUAACUCCGUGCCAGCAGCCGCGGUAAUACGGAGGGUGCGAGCGUUGUCCGGAAUCACUGGGCGUAAAGGGCGCGUAGGUGGCGCGGUAAGCGUGCGGUGAAAGCCCGGGGCUCAACUCCGGGUCUGCCGUGCGAACUGCCGGGCUUGAGCACGGUAGAGGCCAAUGGAAUUCCGGGUGUAGCGGUGGAAUGCGUAGAGAUCCGGAAGAACACCGGUGGCGAAGGCGGUUGGCUGGGCCGUUGCUGACACUGAUGCGCGACAGCGUGGGGAGCAAACAGGAUUAGAUACCCCCGUAGUCC
rnacentral:rRNA from 1 species